rnacentral:rRNA from 1 species
CACGUAGGGUGCGAGCGUUGUCCGGAAUUAUUGGGCGUAAAGAGCUCGUAGGCGGUGUGUCGCGUCGGCCGUGAAAACCCGGGGCUCAACCCCGGGCCUGCAUUCGAUACGGGCAGACUAGAGUUCGGUAGGGGAGUCUGGAAUUCCUGGUGUAGCGGUGAAAUGCGCAGAUAUCAGGAGGAACACCGGUGGCGAAAGCGGCUCUCUGGAACGGUACUGACGCUGAGACGCGAAAGCGUGGGGAGCGAACAGG